rnacentral:rRNA from 1 species
AUUGAACGCUGGCGGCACGCCUUACACAUGCAAGUCGAACGGUAACGCGGGGCAACCUGGCGGCGAGUGGCGAACGGGUGAGUAAUGCAUCGGAACGUGCCCAGUAGUGGGGGAUAGCCCGGCGAAAGCCGGAUUAAUACCGCGUAAGACCUACGGGUGAAAGCGGGGGACCGUAAGGCCUCGCGCUAUUGGAGCGGCCGAUGUCAGAUUAGGUUGUUGGUGGGGUAAAAGCCGACCAAGCCGACGAUCUGUAGCUGGUCUGAGAGGACGGCCAGCCACACUGGGACUGUGACACGGCCCAGACUCCUACGGGAGGCAGCAGUGGGGAAUUUUGGACGAUGGGGGCAACCCUGUGCCAGCCAUGCCGCGUGCGGGAAGAAGGCCUUCGGGUUGUAAACCGCUUUUGUCAGGGAAGAAACGCCCUGGGCUAAUACCCCGGGGUAAUGACGGUACCUGAAGAAUAAGCACCGGCUAACUACGUGCCAGCCGCCGCCGUAAAAC